rnacentral:rRNA from 1 species
CCUACGGGGGGCAGCAGUGAGGAAUAUUGGUCAAUGGGCGCGAGCCUGAACCAGCCAAGUCGCGUGAGGGAAGACGGUCCUAUGGAUUGUAAACCUCUUUUGUCGGGGAGCAAAAGACGCCACGCGUGGCGUUCCGAGAGUACCCGAAGAAAAAGCAUCGGCUAACUCAGUGCCAGCAGCCGCGGUAAUACGGAGGAUGCGAGCGUUAUCCGGAUUUAUUGGGUUUAAAGGGUGCGCAGGCGGAAGAUUAAGUCAGCGGUAAAAUUGAGAGGCUCAACCUCUUCGAGCCGUUGAAACUGGUGUUCUUGAGUGAGUGAGAAGUAUGCGGAAUGCGUGGUGUAGCGGUGAAAUGCAUAGAUAUCACGCAGAACUCCGAUUGCGAAGGCAGCAUACCGGCGCUCAACUGACGCUCAUGCACGAAAGUGUGGGUAUCGAACAGGAUUAGAUACCCUGGUAGUC